UACGGAGGGGGCUAGCGUUGUUCGGAAUUACUGGGCGUAAAGCGCGCGUAGGCGGCUUCUUAAGUCAGGGGUGAAAUCCUGGAGCUCAACUCCAGAACUGCCCUUGAUACUGGCGAUCUCGAGUUCGGGAGAGGUGAGUGGAACUGCGAGUGUAGAGGUGAAAUUCGUAGAUAUUCGCAAGAACACCAGUGGCGAAGGCGGCUCACUGGCCCGAUACUGACGCUGAGGUGACGAAAGCGGAUGGGGAGCAAA
rnacentral:rRNA from 1 species